UACAGGGGGUGCGAGCGUUGUCCGGAAUCACUGGGCGUAAAGGGCGCGUAGGCGGCCUGAUAAGUCGGGGGUGAAAUCCUGGGGCUCAACCCCAGAAGUGCAUUCGAAACUGCAGAGCUUGAGUCUUGGAGAGGGCAGUGGAAUUCCGAGUGUAGAGGUGAAAUUCGUAGAUAUUCGGAGGAACACCAGUGGCGAAGGCGACUGCCUGGACAAAGACUGACGCUGAGGUGCGAAAGCGUGGGGAGCAAACAGG
rnacentral:rRNA from 1 species